rnacentral:rRNA from 1 species
GACGGAGGGUGCUAGCGUUGUUCGGAAUCACUGGGCGUAAAGGGCGCGUAGGCGGCCUCAGGUGUCGGAUGUGAAAGCCCGGGGCUCAACCCCGGAGGUGCAUCCGAAACUCUGGGGCUGGAGGUCGGAAGAGGAGGGUGGAAUACCCAGUGUAGAGGUGAAAUUCGUAGAUAUGGGGAGGAACACCGGUGGCGAAGGCGGCCACCUGGACGGUAACUGACGCUGAGACGCGAAAGCGUGGGGAGCAAACAGG